AGGCUUAACACAUGCAAGUCGAGCGGGGAAAGGUAGCUUGCUACCUGACCUAGCGGCGGACGGGUGAGUAAUGCCUAGGAAUCUGCCUGGUAGUGGGGGACAACGUUCCGAAAGGAACGCUAAUACCGCAUACGUCCUACGGGAGAAAGUGGGGGAUCUUCGGACCUCACGCUAUCAGAUGAGCCUAGGUCGGAUUAGCUAGUUGGUGAGGUAAAGGCUCACCAAGGCGACGAUCCGUAACUGGUCUGAGAGGAUGAUCAGUCACACUGGAACUGAGACACGGUCCAGACUCCUACGGGAGGCAGCAGUGGGGAAUAUUGGACAAUGGGCGAAAGCCUGAUCCAGCCAUGCCGCGUGUGUGAAGAAGGUCUUCGGAUUGUAAAGCACUUUAAGUUGGGAGGAAGGGCAGUAAGUUAAUACCUUGCUGUUUUGACGUUACCAACAGAAUAAGCACCGGCUAACUUCGUGCCAGCAGCCGCGGUAAUACGAAGGGUGCAAGCGUUAAUCGGAAUUACUGGGCGUAAAGGGCGCGUAGGUGGUUCGUCAAGUCGGAUGUGAAAGCCCGGGGCUCAACCCCGGAACUGCAUUGGAAACUGUCGAACUAGAGUGUCGGAGAGGGUAGCGGAAUUCCUAGUGUAGCGGUGAAAUGCGUAGAUAUUAGGAGGAACACCAGUGGCGAAGGCGGCUUACUGGACGAUAACUGACGCUGAGGCUCGAAAGCGUGGGGAGCAAACAGGAUUAGAUACCCUAGUAGUCCACGCCGUAAACGAUGUCGACUAGCCGUUAGGAUCCUUGAGAUCUUAGUGGCG
rnacentral:rRNA from 1 species